CCUUCAGCGCCGCUCCCUGGCGGGCGGCUGCGGCGCUCGCCCCGUGCGUGACCCAGGGCUUCUUUGGCCUGCGUCCCCGAAGCCCCGGCGCCGCCCGCGAGCUUCCACCUGGGCUGGAAGGGUCGGGGUGAACUCUUAACUCCUGAGGUCGAAUCCGUCGACUCCUGUCCUUCGGGAAGAAACAGAAAGCGGUGGGCAAGUUCUGGAAAGAUUGCUGAACUGAACCAUUAUGUGGCUGUUCCCAUGUUGCUUAUGGUCUGUGGACAAGCCUGCAGACAACUGCAACAACUCAGAGAAGCAAAUGAAAGCUGUUGUUUUACCUGGGAAAAUAAAAUCUGGACUUGAAAAUUGUGACUACUAUUUAGAAAAAAAAAAAGAUGGAAAGUUGACUGUGUUUCUGCAUACCUCUAAUCACCAAGGGGAUGAGGCAGGAGGAUCAUGCGUUCAGGAGAAUCAGGAGGGCUACACCUUAGAAUGAUGAAAGGGGUGACAUGGAGCAAGAUGCGAUGUACUUCUAAACUGAUUUGUUGAAUGAUAACUCCUCUGCAUAACUACUUCAAGUUAAUAAACAUAAUUUUAUAAAUAGAUGGAAGGUGCUAUGGGUGAACUGGAGAAAAGGAAAGAUAGUCUCUACAAGCCUCUACUUCUGAGACUCAGGAUGGGAACUGAGAGAUAUGUUAAAGAAUCCUUGGAAAUAAGUUGAAGAUUGAAUCAUAAGAAAAAGAACCCCACAGAAAAUAAGGAGUCUUUAAAGGAAGAGAAAGGCCCAAGUAAUAUGACAAUAUGGGACCUCACCAUUGUCCUCAAAUCUUCAGCAAAGAUAAAAUAUGAGAUGUAUUUUCUGGUGAAAAUUAAGUAGAUGAUUUGCAUCUUAGUGCAAUGUAGUACAACUAGCAGCAGCAUAUUAGCAACAAUAAAACAACCCAUCCAUUGAGCUAGCUAGUAACCAGAGAAGGCACAAGGUUCACCCUCACCUUCAGAAUCUGCACACAAGAAUGAAUAAACUUAAGGCAAUUACAUUUGAAUCGCAAAAAAUGGGUUAUAAAUUGAUAAGAGGUGAGUACUUUACUUUUCACUCACUUUACUCCAUGUGACAGCCAUUUCCUACCUUAUGAAGAGAAAAUACUUGCAUGGUGAUGAUGUUGACAUUCAUGUUUCAUUUUCCUUUCAUUCAGAGGCCUGGGCCAUUGUAUGUUUUCUAUUCCUUUCUAGCUCUGGUAAGCAAACAGUGUUUCCUCCUUCACAGUAGAACUGA